rnacentral:rRNA from 1 species
GGUCAGCGGGACGCUGGUUUA